rnacentral:rRNA from 1 species
CCGACGGUGAGAGGCGAAAGCUGGGGGAGCAAACCGGAUUAGAUACCCGGGUAGUCCCAGCCGUAAACGAUGCUCGCUAGGUGUCUGGGAUGGUGCGACCGUUUCAGGUGCCGCAGGGAAGCCGUGAAGCGAGCCACCUGGGAAGUACGGCCGCAAGGCUGAAACUUAAAGGAAUUGGCGGGGGAGCACUACAACGGGUGGAGCCUGCGGUUUAAUUGGAUUCAACGCCGGAAAACUCACCUGGGGC